CCCUUAGAUGUUCUGGGCCGCACGCGUGCUACACUGAGUGGAUCAGCGGGUCAGGUUGCGCGAAAGUGUUUCCUAAUCUUUAAAUCCGCUCGUGAUGGGGAUUGACGGUUGCAAUUUUCCGUCAUGAACGAGGAAUACCUUGUAAGCGCGGGUCAUCAUCCCGCGCUGAAUACGUUCCUGCCCUUUGUACACACCGCCCGUCGCUCCUACCGAUUGAGUGGUCCGGUGAGGCUUUGGGAUCUGGGCGGAAAGAGCGUUUCGCUGUUUCUGCCCGGAAAACUCAGUCGAACCUUAUCAUUUAGAGGAAGGAGAAGUCGUAACA
rnacentral:rRNA from 1 species